UACAGAGGUCUCAAGCGUUGUUCGGAUUCAUUGGGCGUAAAGGGUGCGUAGGCGGCGCGGUAAGUCGGGUGUGAAAUCUCGGGGCUUAACUCCGAAACUGCAUUCGAUACUGCCGUGCUUGAGGACUGGAGAGGAGACUGGAAAUUUGACGGUGUAGCGGUGAAAUGCGUAGAGUAUCGAUAAGGAAGACCAGUGGCGAAGGCGGGUC
rnacentral:rRNA from 1 species